GGGGUUGUGGCUCAACAGUAGAGCGCUCGUCUCCUACAUGAGAGACCCUGGGUUCAAUCCCCAGCACCA
rnacentral:tRNA from 1 species